AAUUAUGGUGGGCUGGCGGGGGCGCUUCGGCGCGCCGGGUUCUGUAGUGACCGGUAAGGCUAACCUCGUCAGUUCACCACCCAA
rnacentral:antisense_RNA from 1 species